AUUGAACGCUGGCUGGCGGCCUAACACAUGCAAGUCGAGCGGUAGCACAGAGAGCUUGCUCUCGGGUGACGAGCGGCGGACGGGUGAGUAAUGUCUGGGAAACUGCCUGAUGGAGGGGGAUAACUACUGGAAACGGUAGCUAAUACCGCAUAACGUCGCAAGACCAAAGUGGGGGACCUUCGGGCCUCAUGCCAUCAGAUGUGCCCAGAUGGGAUUAGCUAGUAGGUGGGGUAAUGGCUCACCUAGGCGACGAUCCCUAGCUGGUCUGAGAGGAUGACCAGCCACACUGGAACUGAGACACGGUCCAGACUCCUACGGGAGGCAGCAGUGGGGAAUAUUGCACAAUGGGCGCAAGCCUGAUGCAGCCAUGCCGCGUGUAUGAAGAAGGCCUUCGGGUUGUAAAGUACUUUCAGCGAGGAGGAAGGCGUUAAGGUUAAUAACCUUGGCGAUUGACGUUACUCGCAGAAGAAGCACCGGCUAACUCCGUGCCAGCAGCCGCGGUAAUACGGAGGGUGCAAGCGUUAAUCGGAAUUACUGGGCGUAAAGCGCACGCAGGCGGUCUGUCAAGUCGGAUGUGAAAUCCCCGGGCUCAACCUGGGAACUGCAUUCGAAACUGGCAGGCUAGAGUCUUGUAGAGGGGGGUAGAAUUCCAGGUGUAGCGGUGAAAUGCGUAGAGAUCUGGAGGAAUACCGGUGGCGAAGGCGGCCCCCUGGACAAAGACUGACGCUCAGGUGCGAAAGUGUGGGGAGCAAACAGGAUUAGAUACCCUGGUAGUCCACGCCGUAAACGAUGUCGACUUGGAGGUUGUGCCCUUGAGGCGUGGCUUCCGGAGCUAACGCGUUAAGUCGACCGCCUGGGGAGUACGGCCGCAAGGUUAAAACUCAAAUGAAUUGACGGGGGCCCGCACAAGCGGUGGAGCAUGUGGUUUAAUUCGAUGCAACGCGAAGAACCUUACCUACUCUUGACAUCCAGAGAACUUAGCAGAGAUGCUUUGGUGCCUUCGGGAACUCUGAGACAGGUGCUGCAUGGCUGUCGUCAGCUCGUGUUGUGAAAUGUUGGGUUAAGUCCCGCAACGAGCGCAACCCUUAUCCUUUGUUGCCAGCGGUUAGGCCGGGAACUCAAAGGAGACUGCCAGUGAUAAACUGGAGGAAGGUGGGGAUGACGUCAAGUCAUCAUGGCCCUUACGAGUAGGGCUACACACGUGCUACAAUGGCAUAUACAAAGAGAAGCGACCUCGCGAGAGCAAGCGGACCUCAUAAAGUAUGUCGUAGUCCGGAUUGGAGUCUGCAACUCGACUCCAUGAAGUCGGAAUCGCUAGUAAUCGUAGAUCAGAAUGCUACGGUUAAUACGUUCCCGGACCU
rnacentral:rRNA from 1 species